rnacentral:rRNA from 1 species
CACCGCGGUUAUACGAGAGGCUCAAGUUGAUAGCCACCGGCGUAAAGAGUGGUUAAGAAACCUUUUACUAAAGCCGAACAUUUUCAAAGCUGUUAUACGCACCCGAAAACAUGAAGAACCCUUACGAAAGUAGCUUUAAACAUUCUGAACCCACGAAAGCUAGGAUA